rnacentral:rRNA from 1 species
UUCCCCUAGUAGCGGCGAGCGAAGCGGGAAGAGCUCAAAUUUAUAAUCUGGCACCCUCGGUGUCCGAGUUGUAAUCUCUAGAAAUGUUUUCCGCGUUGGACCGCACACAAGUCUGUUGGAAUACAGCGGCAUAGUGGUGAGACCCCCGUAUAUGGUGCGGACGCCCAGCGCUUUGUGAUACAUUUUCGAAGAGUCGAGUUGUUUGGGAAUGCAGCUCAAAUUGGGUGGUAAAUUCCAUCUAAAGCUAAAUAUUGGCGAGAGACCGAUAGCGAACAAGUACCGUGAGGGAAAGAUGAAAAGCACUUUGGAAAGAGAGUUAACAGUACGUGAAAUUGUUGGAAGGGAAACGCUUGAAGUCAGACUUGCUUGCCGAGCAAUCGGUUUGCAGGCCAGCAUCAGUUUUCCGGGAUGGAUAAUGGUAGAGAGAAGGUAGCAGUUUCGGCUGUGUUAUAGCUCUCUGCUGGAUACAUCUUGGGGGACUGAGGAACGCAGUGUGCCUUUGGCGGGGGUUUCGACCUCUUCACACUUAGGAUGCUGGUGGAAUGGCUUUAAACGACCCGUCUUGAAACACGGACCUCCUGUGUGA